rnacentral:rRNA from 1 species
GACGAACGCUGGCGGCGUGCUUAACACAUGCAAGUCGAACGUGAUUUUUAAGGAAAGCCCUUCGGGGAAGGAAUUAAAAUGAAAGUGGCGAACGGGUGAGUAACACGUGAGCAACCUACCUUACACAGGGGGAUAGCCGUUGGAAACGACGAUUAAUACCGCAUGAGACCACAGAAUCGCAUGAUAUAGGGGUCAAAGAUUUAUCGGUGUAAGAAGGGCUCGCGUCUGAUUAGCUAGUUGGAAGGGUAAAGGCCUACCAAGGCGACGAUCAGUAGCCGGUCUGAGAGGAUGAACGGCCACAUUGGAACUGAGACACGGUCCAAACUCCUACGGGAGGCAGCAGUGGGGAAUAUUGCACAAUGGGGGGAACCCUGAUGCAGCGACGCCGCGUGAGCGAAGAAGGUUUUCGAAUCGUAAAGCUCUGUCCUAUGAGAAGAUAAUGACUUAUCA